GAAAGUGUGGCUAAUACCGGAUGAUAUCGGCGGACCGCAUGGUUUGCCGAUCAAAGGUGGGGACCUUCGGGCCUGCCGGUUUUGGAUCAGCCUAUGUCCUAUCAGCUUGUUGGUGGGGUAACGGCCCACCAAGGCGACGACGGGUAGCGGGCGUGAGAGCGUGACCCGCCUCAUCGGGACUGAGACACUGCCCGGACACCUACGGGUGGCUGCAGUAACGAAUAUUGGGCAAUGGGCGCAAGCCUGACCCAGCAAUGCCGCGUGCAGGAGGAAGCCCUUCGGGGUGUAAAACUGCUGUCAGGGUCUAGCAAACAAAGCGCGUGAAUAGCGCGCUGCGUUGAGCAGACCCAAAGGAAGCCUCGGCUAACUCUGUGCCAGCAGCCGCGGUAAGACAGAGGAGGCAAGCGUUGUCCGGAAUCAUUGGGCUUAAAGCGCGUGUAGGCGGCUUGGCAAGUGUUCCGUGAAAGCCCACGGCUCAACCCUUGGAAUUGCGGAGCAAACUGCCUGGCUUGAGGUUCGUAAGGGGUGCCUGGAACUCUAGGUGGAGCGGUGACAUGCGUAGAUAUCUAGAGGAACGCCAGCGGCGAAAGCCGAAGUACUGGUGCGAUUCUUGACGCUUGAGACGCGAAAGCGUGGGGAGCAACCAGGAUUAGAUACCCUGGUAGUCCACGCCGUAUACGAUGCACACUAGAUCUGGGGGCUCUGACGGCCACCGGGUCGAAGCGAAAGCGUUAAGUGUGCCGCCUGGGGACUACGGCCGCAAGGCUAAACUUCAAAGGAAUUGACGGGGGCUCACACAAGCGGUGGAGCAUGUGGCUUAAUUCGAAGCAACGCGAAGAACCUUACCCAGGUUUGACAUGCUUGGAUGCAACCCGGGGAUAACUUCGGGACGCUGCUCUUCGGAGUGAAACUUGCACAGGUGUUGCAUGGCUGUCGUCAGCUCGUGCUGUGAAGUGUCGGGUUAAGUCCCUUAACGAGCGAUACCCCUAUCGUUAGUUGCCAGCGCGUUAUGGCGGGGACUCUAGCGAGACUGCCGGCGUUAAGCCGGAGGAAGGUGGGGACGACGUCAAGUCAUCAUGGCCCUUAUGCCUGGGGAUGCACACGUGCUACAAUGGCGUGAACAGAGCGACGCAAGACCGCGAGGUGGAGCAAAUCGCAAAAAACACGCCUCAGUUCGGAUUGGAGUCUGUAACUCGACUCCAUGAAGUUGGAAUCGCUAGUAAUCGCGUAUCAGCUACGACGCGGUGAAUGUGUUCCUGAGCCUUGUACACACCGCCCGUCAAGUCAUGGAAGCUGGUAGCAACCCGAAGUC
rnacentral:rRNA from 1 species